AGACGAAGAUGUAUGUUCUAGCGGCGGACGGGUGAGUAACGCGUGAGCAACCUGUCCCUUACAGGGGAUAACACAGCGAAAGUUGUACUAAUACCGCAUGAGACCACGGAGGACAUCCUCCAGGGGUCAAAGGAGCAAUCCGGUAAGGGUGGGCUCGCGUCCGAUUAGAUAGUUGGUGAGGUAACGGCCCACCAAGUCGACGAUCGGUAGCCGACCUGAGAGGGUGAUCGGCCACAUUGGGACUGAGACACGGCCCAAACUCCUACGGGAGGCAGCAGUGGGGAAUAUUGGGCAAUGGGGGGAAACCCUGACCCAGCAACGCCGCGUGAGGGAAGAAGGUUUUCGGAUCGUAAACCUCUGUCCUUGGUGAAGAGUGAGAGACGGUAGCCAAGGAGGAAGCCCCGGCUAACUACGUGCCAGCCGCCGC
rnacentral:rRNA from 1 species